GAUGGUGCGGGCUGAGACGUCAAGAGGAUCCUUCAGUGCCUCUCCUCUUUCACUGGACCUUUAAUUGGGCUGGUUUGUAACGAGGUCCCAGCUUUCCCUCAGCUCCAGGCUUCCGUGGAAGCUACUAUGACUUUGAAUUAACCGACUCGGCAACGUUUAGGAAGCUGCAGGUGAAAGACAAAAGGACCUUGAGAACAGUAUGCAGAGGCAGCUCCGGUCCCUUUGCCAGGAGGACAGGUUAAUUAAUCACCGUAACUAUUCUUGGACCCAGGACAACUGAUGUUUGUUCUGUGGAUGCCCCUCCCUGGAAGCACAGGGGAGUGAACAAAGCUGGAUCACAGCAAAGUCUUCCCCAGACUUGGGAGCCCAACUUGAAGAGCCUGCCCUUGAACUCCUGCCUAUUGAAUUGAAAAGGACACACACUGGGUAGCUGCCACGUACAGACCUUGGGCCACAGAAUGAGAUGCAGGAAGCAGGCCUGACAAUGCCCUGUGGACUGCAGCAGAACUGCCCCAGCCAGCAUGCAGACCCCUGAGCAAGAAAAGCAAACACUUGUGGUGGGGACACGGGUUCAACCCCUGGUCUGGGAGGAUCCCACAUGCCACUGAGCAACGGAGCCUGUGCGCCACAACUACUGAGCCUGCACUCUGGAGCCCGUGAGCCACAACUACUGAGCCCACGUGCCACAACUGCUGAAGCCCACGCGCCUAGAGCCCAUGCUCCACAACAAGAGAAGCCACCACAAUGAGAGGCCUGUGCACCGCAACGAAGAGAAGCCCCCGCUCGCCGCAACUAAAGAAAGCCCGCGUGCAGCAAUGGAGACCCCACGCAGCC